rnacentral:rRNA from 1 species
UACGAAGGGGGCUAGCGUUGUUCGGAAUUACUGGGCGUAAAGGGCGCGUAGGCGGCCUUCUAAGUCAGACGUGAAAUCCCCAGGCUUAACUUGGGAACUGCGUCUGAUACUGGAUGGCUUGAGUGCGGGAGAGGGAUGUGGAAUUCCAGGUGUAGCGGUGAAAUGCGUAGAUAUCUGGAGGAACACCGGUGGCGAAGGCGGCAUCCUGGACCGACACUGACGCUGAACUGCGAAAGCUAGGGGAGCGAACGGG